GAUCAUGGCUCAGGAUGAACGCUAGCUACAGGCUUAACACAUGCAAGUCGAGGGGCAGCAUCGUCAAAGCUUGCUUUGAUGGAUGGCGACCGGCGCACGGGUGAGUAACACGUAUCCAACCUGCCGACAACACUGGGAUAGCCUUUCGAAAGAAAGAUUAAUACCGGAUGGCAUAAUUAUUCCGCAUGGGAUUAUUAUUAAAGAAUUUCGGUUGUCGAUGGGGAUGCGUUCCA
rnacentral:rRNA from 1 species